UGGGGGAUAUUGCACAAUGGGGGAAACCCUGAUGCAGCGACGCCGCGUGUGGGAAGACGGUCCUCUGGAUUGUAAACCACUGUCCCCAGGGACGAAAAUGACGGUACCUGGGGAGGAAGCUCCGGCUAACUACGUGCCAGCAGCCGCGGUAAUACGUAGGGAGCGAGCGUUGUCCGGAAUUACUGGGUGUAAAGGGAGCGUAGGCGGGGAUGCAAGUUGGGUGUCAAAACUACCGGCUCAACUGGUAGUCGCACUCAAAACUGCAGCUCUUGAGUGAAGUAGAGGCAGGCGGAAUUCCUAGUG
rnacentral:rRNA from 1 species